AGUGUCAAGGGAUGGGAAUCGAACCCACGACCUUCCGCUUACCGGGCAGAUGCCAUACCCACUAGGCUAUAGGCUC